rnacentral:rRNA from 1 species
CCUACGGGCGGCAGCAGUGGGGAAUAUUGCACAAUGGGGGAAACCCUGAUGCAGCGACGCCGCGUGAGCGAUGAAGGAUUUCGGUAUGUACAGCUCUAUCAGCAGGGAAGAAAAUGACGGUACUUGAGUAAGAAGCCCCGGCUAACUACGUGCCAGCAGCCGCGGUAAUACGUAUGGGGCAAGCGUUAUCCGGAUUUACUGGGCGUAAAGGGAGCGUAGGCGGCCUGCCAAGUCUGAGGUGAAAUACCGGGGCUCAACCCCGGGGAGGCAUUGGAAACUGGCAGGCUGGAGGGAGGAAGGGGCAGGCGGAAUUCCUAGUGUGGCGGUGAAAUGGGUAGAUAUUAGGAGGAAAACCAGUGGCGAAGGCGGCCUGCUGGACGGUGACUGACGCUGAGGCUCGAAAGCGUGGGGAGCAAACAGGAUUAGAUACCCCAGUAGC